AAUCAACGCUGGCGGCGUGCCUCAGACAUGCAAGUCGAACGCGAAAGUCCCCUUCGGGGACGAAGUAGAGUGGCGCACGGGUGAGUAACACGUAGGUAAUCUACCUUUGGAUGGGGAAGUAACAAUCGGAGACGGUUGCUAAUACCGCAUAAUGCAGCGGCACCUAAUGGUGACAGUUGUUAAAGCGGGGGAGUCGAAAGACCUCGCGUCUAAAGAGGAGCCUGCGGCGGAUAGCUAGUUGGUAGGGUAACGGCCUACCAAGGCGACGAUCCGUAACCGGCCUGAGAGGGCGGUCGGUCACACUGACACUGACAUACGGGUCAGACUCCUACGGGAGGCAGCAGUCGGGAAUUUUGGGCAAUGGGCGAAAGCCUGACCCAGC
rnacentral:rRNA from 1 species